rnacentral:tRNA from 1 species
AAAAAGUUAGUUUAAAAUAAAACAUUAUCUUGUCAAGAUAAAUAUAUAAAUACUUAUACUUUUUU